GGGGGAGUAUGGUUGCAAAGCUGAAACAAAGGACUUGAUGGAAGGGCACCACCAGAGUGGAGGCUGCAGCUUAAUUUGACUCAACAUGGGAAACCUCGCCUGGACACGGACAGGAUUGACAGAUAGCUCUUUCUCGAUUCUGUGGGUGGUGGUUCAUGGCUGUUCUUAGUUGGAGCGAUUUGUCUGGUUAAUUCCGAAAACGAAUGAGACUCUGGCAUGCUAAUUAGUUACAUGACCCCUAAGCGGUCGGUGUCCCCCAACUUCUCAGAGGGACAAGUGGCAUUCAGCCCCCCGAGACUGAGCAAUAACAGGUCUGUGAUGCCCUUAGAUGUCCGGGUCUGCACGUGUGCUACACUGACUGGCUCAGUGUGUGCCUACCCUAUGCUGGCAGGUGCGGGUAACCCAUUGAACCCCAUUCAUGAUGGGGAUUGGGGAUUGCAAUUAUUCCCCAUGAAGGAGGAAUUCCCAGGAAGUGCCGGUUAUAAGCUUGCAUUGAUUAAGUCCCUGCCCUUUGCACACACCACCCAUCGCUACUACCAAUUGGAUGGUUUAGUGAGUACCUUGGAUUGGCCCCGCCGGGGUCAGCCCAUGGCCCUGGCAGAGCACUGAGAAGACGGUCGAACUUUAUCUAGAAGGAAGUAAAAGUCAUAACAAGGUUUCUGUAGGUGAACCUGCAGAAG
rnacentral:ncRNA from 1 species